rnacentral:lncRNA from 1 species
AUUGCUAUAUCUUGCUUUCUUAGUGUAAUUAGACAUCUAUUUGCUCGCAUAUUGAUUAUGUCGUAUGUUUAAUUUACAUAUUUAAUUAUGUUUGAUUACAUGUGUUUAAUCUUAUUGCAAUUAGGAUCUUGGUAGUUAUGAUUAUUAUUUUAAUGAUUGCGCGCUUGCAUGAUCACGUCACAUGUUAGUGGAUAAAUAUGAAAUCAAUCCAAAUUGCCUGCCAAAAAUCAUUUUGUUAAAAUGAACAAGAUUAGGUACUGAAAGGGCACUAAUUGGUUAAUUGGUGUAAUCAAGUCUAAUUGGUUAAUUAGUGUAAUCAAGUCCCCGAACCUAAAUUCUCUGGUUGCGUAGGAAGUGAGGCACGCUCCCAUGCCUCACUUGGUUUCUAGCCGAUCCCAAUAGGCUAGUGGCGACUCCUUUUAUGCAAAAUUUCUUAAGAACAUCCCAACGUCACGCGGGGUAUGGGCUUGGGAGAGCUCGCGCCUAAUCAUGGGCCUUAGGCUCGUCUUUUAGGCAAUACCCCUAAACCUGUUCCCUCCCCCCGAGGGUAGGUCGCGACA